UUUUUCACCUUCUUGCUGUGCGAUUUUCUCCCUCUUCAUCGUUCCCUCUUUUGCUGCCAAAUCUUUGCUCUUUCUUCGCAGAAUAGUUGUUAGAAGAGAUCCUGACUUUAAUUUUAUUUUGGAUUUGGUUUCGGGUCUUCUCCGGUGUGCAACCCUUUGUUUGAUUUUAUUGGGCGUUUUGUUUCCGGUCUUCUCCGGUGACGAACCCUUUGUUGGCCAGCGUUUUGUUCUCAUCUUGCCAUCGUCGAUUUAUGAAGAGCAUGUUUGUAGCAUAACCAGCUUUUCUGUAUAGCAUGGCCUCCAAUCAUCAUUCAUUUGAAGAAAAAGGUCAUUCCCAAAUCAUGCAAAACCAGCCUUCUUUCCUGCACAAAAAAAUGGAUUUUGCAACAGGGGUUGCAUGGGAAGCAGGGAAGCUGUUGGUGAUGGAGAGGGUGAAGGUUGCUCCACCUAAGGCCAUGGAAAUGAGGAUAAAGGUCAAAUAUACCUCAGUUUAUCAUAUUGAACUCUACUUCUGCCGAAGGCACAUUUACUUCGAGUGAAUACAUUGUUGUUCAUUCUGGCCGUCUUUCCAAAAUCAAGCCCCUUGCUCAGUUGGACAAAGUUUGCAUCCUUAGUUGUGCCAUACCAACAGGUUUGGGUUCCCCUCUCAAUGUAGCAAAACGAAAAAUUAUCCUCAGUUGUUUAUUGGCCUCGCUGCUACUAAAGGUGGAAAAAUUUCUGAGGUGCCAGAGUAUUGGGUGGAGUCGGUGGACUUGAAGCCCAAGAGGUUUGAUGAAGCUAAGGAAAAGACCGAGACAUCAACCAGUGCAGAAGCUCCUGAUAGGACUAAUUGCAGAUAGCACUACAAAUGAGCACUACAAUUUUAAGCUUGAUGUUGCAAGAGAAAAAUUCUGGACAAAGCAAAAAAUAACAUGAUGACCAAGAAAAAGAUGGUCAUUCCCAAACAAGCAAGACCAAAAGAUUGACCAGGAAAAAUCAUAAACACUGAGCAGAUGUGUGGUGCCAAGCUUCUGAUAUGAACAUGAAUAUUUUUCGUAUUUGAACGAUUUUAAUAUUGUGAACUUCUGUACAUGAAUAUAGCUUUCAUAACAUCUCUAUCUUUAUAACAACCACUUGCAAGUUUCUCUAUCUUGGUGUCCACCCUUUGCAAGUUUCUCUGUCCGAUUAUUCACCUUCGUUUUUCUUCCAGAAAAUUGCUCGAUUCAUGAACGGUGGAGGGGCUACAGAUUUCUGCCUUUUCAAUUUGAUUGAAAUCUGUUUUUUGCUUGCGUAGUCUAAUGUGUUCGGGUGAUUUUUGCAUUUUUUUAGCGUAUGUGAUUUCGUUUUUUAGGUGGUUCUCAAUUGGAUUCCACAGUAAAACCCAGAAACUUAGAGUAAAAACCUUGAAACUUAAAAGGCAUGAGGCACCUCCACGCCUCCCAAUCUGCCGACGUUAGAGCGCUCACCACAUGUUCGUCAUUAAUCCUCAAACAGUCGAACCCACUUCUCUCUCCGUCUCCGUCUCCGUAUGUGUAUGCGCUGUUGCACCAUCUGUAUGUCGUUAGAAACUACUUGAGCAGCCGCAAUCUCAGAUUUUCAGUUUCUAAACAAUGACAUGAUGCGACUGUUCAAAGUGCUUUUAUCAUUAAGGAUUGUUUUGUUGCAAAAAGCAAGGCCAAUUUGUUUAGGGCUUGAAGAUUUCUACAUUCACCAGGUUUAUCUUCGACUCCAGGUACUUUGUUCCAUUAACAACUUAAAGUCAGUUGCAACCACAGAGUUUGGUUAUGAUUGGGUAAAAUAAGCUGAUUAUCUGCCUAUUUCAUGAGGAUAUCAAUGGGGACUAUCUACCCAAUCUUUUGUGUGUAAAUAGUAUGUAAAUACACAUCAAAUAUUAUCUUUUGUAUGUAAAUUUGUAAAAGAUGUGAAUAUUAGAACGAUGGCAAUAGAACUGCCAAUUCAUAUUGUUGUAAAUAGAUUUCUGUAUGUAUAUAAAUAGUAUUGCA